rnacentral:rRNA from 1 species
GGGGAAGGGUAGCUUGCUACCUGACCUAGCGGCGGACGGGUGAGUAAUGCUUAGGAAUCUGCCUAUUAGUGGGGGACAACAUUCCGAAAGGAAUGCUAAUACCGCAUACGCCCUACGGGGGAAAGCAGGGGAUCUUCGGACCUUGCGCUAAUAGAUGAGCCUAAUUCAGAUUAGCUAGUUGGUGGGGUAAAGGCCUACCAAGGCGACGAUCUGUAGCGGGUCUGAGAGGAUGAUCCGCCACACUGGGACUGAGACACGGCCCAGACUCCUACGGGAGGCAGCAGUGGGGAAUAUUGGACAAUGGGCGAAAGCCUGAUCCAGCCAUGCCCCGUGUGUGAAGAAAGCCUUUUGGUUGUAAAGCACUUUAAGCGAGGAGGAGGCUACUGAGAUUAAUACUCUUGGAUAGGGGACGUUACUCGCAAAAUAAGCACCCGCUUACUCUGUGCCAGCAGCCCCCGGGAAUACAAAAGGGGCGAGCGUUAAUUCGAUUUACUUGGGCG